rnacentral:rRNA from 1 species
ACCAGACUCCUACGGGAGGCAGCAGUCGGGAAUAUUGCGCAAUGGAGGAAACUCUGACGCAGUGACGCCGCGUAUAGGAAGAAGGUUUUCGGAUUGUAAACUAUUGUCAUUAGGGAAGAUAAAAGACUGUACCUAAGGAGGAAGCCCCGGCUAACUACGUGCCAGCAGCCGCGGUAAUACGUAGGGGGCAAGCGUUAUCCGGAUUUACUGGGUGUAAAGGGGGCGCAGACGGCGAUGCAAGCCAGGAGUGAAAGCCCGGGGCCCAACCCCGGGACUGCUCUUGGAACUGCGUGGCUAGAGUGCAGGAGGGGCAGGCGGAAUUCCUGGUGUAGCGGUGAAAUGCGUAGAUAUCAGGAGGAACACCGGUGGCGAAGGCGGCCUGCUGGACUGCAACUGACGUUGAGGCCCGAAAGCGUGGGGAGCAAACAGGAUUAGAUACCCUUGUAGC